rnacentral:lncRNA from 1 species
ACAGCACCCAUAUCCUCAGAUGCCCUUGGCGAAGGCCGGAGUGGUGGUGUGGACAUGCGAGUUUGGAGCCUCCUACGGAUGGUUUUGACGGCAUCCUGAACUGCUCACAGGUGUGGCGGAGAGCUUUGGGCCUAUGGCCGCCGACUUCUACGAGUCCAGUCCUAGGAAAAUUGCACCAUUGAGGAUGAGGAUUGGCUCCCCACGCGCCGUGGGGCACAGUGGCUUGCUUCGGCUGAGCCCGGCCC